rnacentral:lncRNA from 12 species
UAACAGACAGUCUGACUGUGCGGGCAGAAAAAUGAAGCACACUUUUAGAGUAAGAAGCUUUCAAGCUAAAUAUGUUUUAGAUUACAGUUUAAAAUAGAUUAUAGUAUCAUAACACUAGCUGAAAUCAACUACACAUAAGUCUUAAUGGUCGGAGAGAAUUAUGUAGAGCCUGGCUUUAAAUACAGUAAGAUCAUCACAAAAUUUUAACUUUGCUGUAAAAGUUACAGUGAAAAAGGUUUAUGCUUGAAAAAAUACAAAGUUGCUUCAGUAACUUUAUCUGGUUUUAACAAUGGUUAGAUAUUUUUACUGGAAAACACACUCUCUCUCUCUCUCUCUCUCUCUCUCUCUCUCUCUCUCUCACACACACACACACACACACACACACACGCCUAUAAUAGCGAUGUGUGGCUUGGUCUUAAAUCGGCAGGUGAAAUUAUUGCAGGUUUUCUUUCUUUUUUUUAUUUUUUAUAAUGAAAGCACUUCUAGGUUGAAGAGACCACAAUGGUGAGUGUGGAGUUAUUGAUUUUUAUUACAAAUUACGAAAACAAUAAUGAAAGGAUAUCUGUGUGACUAUGUACUUUAUGCCAUUAAGAGACAGAAACUAUUUGAGCCUGUAAAAUGGGAAGAGUAAUGUUCCACUUUGAUACUGAAGAACGUUCCAGUGGCUUGAAAUCACAUCAAGAUUUAAUGCUGAAAUGAGAAGAUUCUGGAUUUCCUGCUAAGAAAUGUAUGGUAAUUCUAAACUCCUGGGAUAUGGUUACCAUGCCUUUGCUAAGUAACUGACCACAUCACCUCAUCGACACAUUAAAUGACAUCAUAAUGCUCCACAGGAACCAUGACAUCAUUUAUUAUAGCACAGAUGUUCGUAAUGAUAACUGGACUGAGGUUUUCUAUAUCUCAACAUCAGGACAAAAAGCACAUCAUAUAUUUGCUUAUAUGGGAGUUAUGUGCAAUGCAAAACUGUUUAUACCUCCUUGUUUUAAUGUUGUGAUAAUGCAUUUAAUUUCAGUGUUUUAUUUUCUGUUAUGUCUAUAUUACACAUCUGUGAGUAUGUUUUAUGAAAGUAGUCUUUAUAAAAACUACACCCCUUUUUUUAAAACAACAACAACUGGUCUGUGUAUAUAAAAAAGCUGACCAACCACAAACUCUUAUUUUGCACAAACUAAGGUGUUGCAGUUUAGACUUUUGUAAAUUUGUUUUUCUAAUGCAUAAUUCAGUCAUAUUGUAAUCUUCUGUUAAUUAACUGUACUAUGAAAACUGUAAAAAGUGUUAAUUUGUUCACACAUGGUCAAUAAUUCUGUGUUUAGUAUUGCCUUUAUAUAUGUUUAAAUAUUUCUGAACAUGGCAUGGUGCUUUUAUUAUUGCCUAAAAUUGUAUGUCAAGUCAUGUGUUAUGUGACGCUAUUCAUAAUGGCUGCCAUUAUGGUAAAUAAUAUUUAGAGGAACUUAAAAUCACAAAAAGCUAUAUACAGUUGUCUUACAACUUCAGUUUUAAACAUUUCACAAUUGGUAUAAAAUUUGUAGUUGGAAUAAAGUACUGUUUCUUAAAUUGGAAGAUUUGAUUAGAGAAAAUUCGAGAGGAAAAACAGUAUGUUUUAUAUUUGUAUUUGAGAAAGUUUCUGAGAAAAUGGUUAGCUUUAGAUUUUCUGAGUACAGCUAGCUUUGUUUUGUUCGCACAGUGGUCAGUGUGUACAGACCUGACAGUGCAAUGUUAGUGUCGUCUUUUCAUAAAAGCCCUUUGUUUACACAGGUCCAUUGUGUGUAUAUGUGUGUUGACAAUGCAUUUUAAAUACACUUCUCCUUUGAGCUCAUCUCUAUGGAGGCAAUUUGACCUAAAUGAAUUUUCAGAAAUGCAUGUAAGAUUGUUUUUGUAUUCAUUCACUACUUCCUGAAGCAGAAAACAUUAUAUGAUCUACUUAAAGUAAAUCUGAACGUGAAAGUAAAUGUAAUAUUUGAUCCAUGAGAAUAACUCUGCAGUUACACAAGCAGGAGGGGGAGACGUUUCUCAAAGACUCUUUAUCUAGUGAAAAAUGAUCAAUCCUGAUGGCUCACAGAGAGAGGGAGAGAUGUGUGACAGUGAUUGAGAUUGAGCGCAGUGUUACAGCGCCAUCUUGAGGAUACUGUUGAAUUCAAUAGCUUAUUUAUGGACGAACUGUGGAACUAUCCAGUUUAAACUCAAGCAUUUUCGCAGCUAAAUAUUUCAUUAGGAUCAUAGACUAUGACAGAAAUCAGUGAUCACUUACUUCGGUUACUUUAUGAUACUGUAUCUAAUAUAAGAUGAAACUAUAUAAUUAAGGGAGAUUGUAACUACUCACAAAAAAGUAGUGAUGUCGUAUCAAUAAAAUGGUACAAAGCAGGAUCUGAGAAACAGACAUUCAACCAAACGAAGACAGUAUCAUAACAGAAACAAACCAAGUUCCUUAUUAAAACAGAACACCAAAACAAGAUUCAAUGUAGCCUACAACAAUUUGGAUGAAUCAAAAUUAAAAUUGUGUAUGCACAAUGCAAAUGUUUUUUUUUUUCUUUGCUUAGUUAAUUUUAAUUAAUUUUACAAUUACUUAUUUUAAUUGGACUUUUUAAUGAUUUAAUUACCUUAGCUUUUAAUUAAACUCACAAACCCCCUGCAAUUAAUCUACAAACCCCAUGUAAUGUUAAUGCACUAUAUUUCCAACAAAUGGAAUAUAUUUUCUUACUCUUACUCUUUUCAAUAGAUUAUCUUAUUUAAAUCAAUGUGAUAAACAAGUUAGGCCAAAAGUUAUCGAAAAGUAAUCUAAAAGUCUGAUUAUAUUAUCUAAAAUGUGUAAUGUAAUGAAUUAUGUUACUAUGUAAUUUGGAAUCAGUAGCCUAAUGGACUACAAUUUGUAAGUAACUAGCUCUGAGUGUAGACAACUUCAUUGAUUAUAAAGGAAAUUUGUGCAGAAGUGGUUAUAAAGGGAGUGCACUCCAUUCAGAAUUUGAAUAAAAGUUUUGUUUUUAUGCUUCAGCAGUGAAACUGUAAUAAGUGAAUUGAUUCUGGAACCGGGACUGUUGUAAACAUGAGCCACAAAAGCUUUUCAGUUUCAUCACCAGCGACACAUUAAUAUAAAACAAUACAGCCUGCUACAAUACUAAUGUGUAAUGUGUGUCAUAUUAAAGCUCAUACUCACCAUUAAAAAAUAGUUGAGGGUAGUGGGUCUCUGGAUAAAAUCUCUCCAAUGUCUUUCCAGUGAUGGCAUUUUGCUACAAAAUUUGAUUUGCCGUACAGGAAAUCUUAUCCGCAGAUGAGCAAAGUUUUUUAUUUUCUUCAGAGUAAUCAAGACAUAAACCUAUCGUAUAUGAUUCUUAUAGCCUACAUCAUGCUACACCCAAAUUUCAUCCGGUAAUCUUAUUAAACAACACUACUUUUAACACAAAAAUAUAAAUACUGAAAAGGUCUGUUGCUGGAUAAUUGAUGAUUGGGUGUUGUAUUUGAAUAAUUAAUGAAGCAGGCCUAGGUAGUCAUUUAUAAAUACAGUACAGUUUCCAUUUUGUGUACUUUAUGCAUUAAUGUAUUAAAUUUGAAUCUUCUGUUGGUGAAAGGUGUGUUACCCUCCUCUAUCUUUCCCGUCAGCUAAAUGCUGCUGAAUACCGGCAGUUUUGUAGUUGAUUAAAAUGUUCAUUUUUGGAAUUUGAUGACUGGCACCCGGUUCCACGUCUACUUCCGUAAAACAAUUUUCUCUAAGUAAAAGUGAAACUCAAGUUGAAAUUUUUAAAAACUGUACUUAAGGUUAGCGAAGAAAUAUUUGCAGCCUACUUCGUUUUUAUCCCAGAGACACAACAACCUGUACGUUCAUUUGUACAGAUAGCACAUGAUCCAUCUGCCUGUAUAAAAUACAGGAUGCUUUUUAUAUGACACUGAGAAAAUAUGUAGAAUCAGAUCUAGAUCUUAACACACUGGUGAUUCAUUACUUGUACAUUUCUUUAAAUAAGC